UACGUAGGGUGCAAGCGUUGUCCGGAAUUAUUGGGCGUAAAGGGCGCGUAGGCGGCGCGACAAGUCAGGCGUGAAAGCCCCGGGCUCAACCCGGGAAUUGCGCUUGAUACUGUCGUGCUUGAGGCCGGGAGAGGAUGGCGGAAUUCCCAGUGUAGAGGUGAAAUUCGUAGAUAUUGGGAAGAACACCGGUGGCGAAGGCGGCCAUCUGGACCGGUUCUGACGCUGAGGCGCGAAAGCGUGGGGAGCAAACAGG
rnacentral:rRNA from 1 species